rnacentral:ncRNA from 2 species
GCAUCCCGGUAGUUCCAAGGUGCCACCUGUCGGGAGGACAGGAUGGAGAAUUGGGAAGCCGGUCGAAAUCCGGCGCUGCCCCCGCAACGGUAGCGGAGUUCGUGUUCGACGGGAGACCACUGGGCUUGACGGCCUGGGAAGGUGUCGAACGGUCCCGAAAGGGACGGCUCCGGAGCCCGGAAACCAGCCUGGAUCCGAAUAUAUGA